CUUAACCAUAAAGAAGGAAGAGAGCUCAGUGAAGCAUGGCCAGCUAGACAAUAGGCUUUCUGCAGCCAUAUGAGGCAUAUGCACUUGUUAUUGCCAUUUUACAGCACAAAAACAUAAACAUAUGACCAAACACCUGGCUCCUCACACCUCUGAGACCCUUCAGAACUGAAAAGAACCUGCAAUGUAAGAAGAACUAUGAAGAAAGUCCUGGAUUGAGCUCACCUGAUCCCCAGGACCUGAUGAGCACUCAUACCCAUGGGUGGGGGCUAGCACUUUCUUUCUGUGAAACUAUUGGUCAGAGAUUUCAGAGGGUUUCUGGUCAAGUUCUUCACACCUAUUCUAAUUUUUCACAGGAUAUCAUUCAGAAGAUACAUCAUAAUUUGGCCUUUGGCUGUGCUUCUUAAACCAAAAGCAAAUUUAAACUAA